rnacentral:rRNA from 1 species
UACGUAGGGUGCAAGCGUUGUCCGGAAUUAUUGGGCGUAAAGAGCUCAUAGGCGGUCUGUCGCGUCUGCUGUGAAAACUCGGGGCUUAACCCCGGGCCUGCAGUGGGUACGGGCAGACUAGAGUGCGGUAGGGGAGACUGGAAUUCCUGGUGUAGCGGUGAAAUGCGCAGAUAUCAGGAGGAACACCGGUGGCGAAGGCGGGUCUCUGGGCCGUAACUGACGCUGAGGAGCGAAAGCGUGGGGAGCGAACAGG